rnacentral:rRNA from 1 species
AUGUGGCAUCUGCUGUUGCUAGAGCAAGCUCAAACGUCUUGCGUUUCUCUAGCAUGCCUACCCCUGGAGCAUCACUGUCGAAUGCAAAAGAUUUGCGGCUCAGGUACAUGUCCUGGAGCUGCUUCUCAUCUGUCCAUGA